rnacentral:rRNA from 1 species
GAUGAACGCUAGCGGCAGGCCUAAUACAUGCAAGUCGAACGGAUAUAUGUUUUUCGGAAUAUAUAUUAGUGGCGCACGGGUGAGUAACACGUACAUAACUUGCCCUCAAGCGGGGGAUAGCCCUUGGGAAACUGAGAGUAAUACCCCAUAGAAUUAUUGGACGGCAUCGUUUGAUAAUUAAAACUACGGUGUUUGGGGAUAGAUGUGCGUCUGAUUAGCUAGUUGGUGAGGUAACUGCUCACCAAGGCGACGAUCAGUAGGGGGCUGAGAGCGUGGCCCCCCCANACGGGUACUGAGACACGGACCCGAUCCUACGGGAGGCAGCAGUAAGGAAUAUUGGUCAAUGGAGGGAACUCUGAACCAGCCAUGCCGCGUGAAGGA